rnacentral:rRNA from 1 species
UACGAGGGGGGCGAGCGUUGUUCGGAAUUAUUGGGCGUAAAGGGUGCGUAGGCGGUUCGGUAAGUUUCGUGUGAAAUCUUCGGGCUCAACUCGAAGUCUGCACGAAAUACUGCCGGGCUUGAGUGUGGGAGAGGUGAGUGGAAUUUCCGGUGUAGCGGUGAAAUGCGUAGAUAUCGGAAGGAACACCUGUGGCGAAAGCGGCUCACUGGACCACAACUGACGCUGAGGCACGAAAGCUAGGGGAGCAAACGGG